CAGCCUAACACAUGCAAGUCGAGCGGAUGACGGGAGCUUGCUCCUUGAUUCAGCGGCGGACGGGUGAGUAAUGCCUAGGAAUCUGCCUGGUAGUGGAGGACAACGUUUCGAAAGGAACGCUAAUACCGCAUACGUCCUACGGGAGAAAGCAGGGGACCUUCGGGCCUUGCGCUAUCAGAUGAGCCUAGGUCGGAUUAGCUAGUUGGUGGGGUAAUGGCUCACCAAGGCGACGAUCCGUAACUGGUCUGAGAGGAUGAUCAGUCACACUGGAGCUGAGACACGGUCCAGACUCCUACGGGAGGCAGCAGUGGGGAAUAUUGGACAAUGGGCGAAAGCCUGAUCCAGCCAUGCCGCGUGUGUGAAGAAGGUCUUCGGAUUGUAAAGCACUUUAAGUUGGGAGGAAGGGCAGUAAGUUAAUACCUUGCUGUUUUGACGUUACCGACAGAAUAAGCACCGGCUAACUCUUGUGCCAGCAGCCGCGGUAUACAGAGGGGUGCAACGCGUUAAU
rnacentral:rRNA from 1 species